rnacentral:snRNA from 14 species
AUUGCUUCUCAGCCUUUUGGCUAAGAUUUAAGUGUAGUAUCUGUUCUUACCAGUUUAAUAAAAACACCAAAACCUCAU